rnacentral:rRNA from 1 species
CUUGGCGGCCAUAGCGUUCGUGAACCACCCGAUCCCAUCCCGAACUCGGAAGUGAAACCGUUCUGCGCCGAUGAUAGUGUGGGGUCUCCCCAUGUGAGAGUAGGACAUUGCUAGGC